GGGUCCUUUUCCAGCAUACCCAGAAGCUACAGAGAUGGAGAGAGAGGAACAGAACAAACAAACAAUGCGCUCAUCCACAACAUUGAUAAGCCACCAAAGCGAUGACGCACAAAGGCCAGGGUGCGACGGGAGCCCCGGUGGCAGGCAAGCCUAGAGGAGUGGACCACUCAAGGACCAAGGAGCGGACAGUGCCAGGCACAAACAUCCAGUUAUCUGCCCAUCUCCAAAUGGGUCAGAUCAGCUUUGCAGUAAAUAACUUCAGCCAGACCCCCUUUCACCCGCAGAGGGGUGCGAAGGGAGCUGGUGGCAGGUGACAGCUCACGCCCUGCUGUAAAUCAAGGACAGAACAUUCAGCUCUCUCGCUCUCCAAAUUAACCCGAGGAAUUUGCCUUUGUUUCACAGAUUUUCCCUCCGAAACUCUAACACGUUUUAAAGCGAAUACUGGAACAAUAUUUCUAAUAUAGAACGAGGGGAAUGGUCAGAGGCGACCUAAAAGAACACGGAUGUCAGGCUGUUUGUUAUUUUGUGAUGUCAUUAUAAAAGAUUAAAGGAAAUACUGUAUACACACUA